AUGAUCUUCGCUUCGCGGGAACAACAAAAACCACCAUAUCGCUCUUUCCUUUCUACGGUGCUACCUUCUUUUUUCCAAGGGAUGCGGUUGGGGUGUAUAAUAACCCUUUUUUUUGAGUAUGCCCGGAAACAACUCCUAGCUCAAUUUAGGAUCAAAUGUAGGAACCUCAUGGGUAAGGAUAAGGUAAUGGAAUUGAUAGAGAAAUUCAUAGACCUAGGUAGGAUAGGAAAAUUGAUAAAGGGAAUAGAGAUGAUGAUAGAGAUGAUACUGAGAAAGAGGAUAAUUCCGUAUGAGUACAACUCUUAUUUGAACGAAGUGCAAAAAAUGCGAUCUUUUUUGUCUAAUAGAACAAACACUAAUACCUUAAUUGAGUUGGUAAAGAUCAAAUCUGUUUAUCAAAGUGCUUCUCUGAUUGCUCAAGACAUCUCUUUUCAACUGAGGAACAAUCCAAUCUCAUUUCGUUCCAUUUUUAGUAAAAUAGUGAAGGAUAUUCCAUUAAUAAUGCCAAAAGGGGUGGAGGGGAUACGUAUUUGUUGUUCUGAUCGAUUAGGGGGUGCGGAAAUAGCUAGAACUGAAUGCGGAAAGUAUGGAAAAACAUCUUGUAAUGUAUUUAACCAGAAAACCGAUUAUGCUCCUGCGGAAGUAUCUACUCGUAAUGGAAUUUCAGGUGUCAAAGUGUGGAUCUCAUAUAGUCAAAAUAAGAAGGGACGUGCUAUAUCCGAAAUGUACGAAAUAUAG
rnacentral:rRNA from 1 species